CCCUACGGGACGCAGCAGUGAGGAAUAUUGGUCAAUGGCCGGAAGGCUGAACCAGCCAAGCCGCGUGAAGGACGAAGGUGCCAAGCAUUGUAAACUUCUUUUGUCAAGGGACAAAAUCAGGCUCGAGAGCCUGACCGAGGGUACUUGAAGAAAAAGCAUCGGCUAACUCCGUGCCAGCAGCCGCGGUAAUACGGAGGAUGCGAGCGUUAUCCGGAUUUAUUGGGUUUAAAGGGUGCGUAGGCGGACUGUUAAGUCAGCGGUAAAAGCCCGGGGCUCAACCCCGGCGAGGCGUUGCAAACGGGCGG
rnacentral:rRNA from 1 species